CAGUUCCUGUGAGUCCGAUUUUGAGAUGGGACAACUGCGCCGAGGUUUGCCGAGGGUGGCAUGUUCCUUGUUCCUUUGCAGGAGGGAUCACUGGCUUUUGUAGAAGUGCAAACAGCUGAAUUGGACGAUCCAGACUCUAGGGGUCUGAGAAUAGAGAAUAGAUGAACUUUGCCAGG
rnacentral:lncRNA from 1 species